rnacentral:rRNA from 1 species
UACGGAGGGUGCAAGCGUUAAUCGGAGUUACUGGGCGUAAAGCGUACGUAGGCGGCUUGUUAAGCAAGAUGUGAAAUCCCCGGGCUCAACCUGGGAAUGGCAUUUUGAACUGGCAGGCUCGAGUUCUGAAGAGGGUGGUAGAAUUUCCAGUGUAGCGGUGAAAUGCGUAGAUAUUGGAAGGAAUACCGGUGGCGAAGGCGGCCACCUGGUCAGAAACUGACGCUGAGGUACGAAAGCGUGGGGAGCAAACAGG